GAGAGAAAUCGGAGUUUGAAGUUCGGGAUCGAAAAUCUCGGUUUUUCACCGAUUUUGGGUUGCCGUUUUUGAGAGAACGACCUAUCGAACGUUAACGAUUCAAGGUGUCAUUUGUCAGUAGACGAGUGAAUGAAGAAAUACGGGACUAUGUUUUUGAAUCAUGC